CAGAGGCCCACUGGCAGUUUCAGAGUAACAAGAGGAUAAAUGAUGCUGAUCUUUCUCCACACAAUGACACCUUUAAGAGAGAAAGUUACAGUCCAAACCACAUGCAUUCAGAUUGUGCAGCGUUGUGUCCGUGAACUUACAGAGUUUGCAUUAAAAAGUGACAGGACAUCAGAGUGCCAGAAGCUUCUCAUACUGGCCCUGAAGUGUGGGCAAUGCACAGCCUGCAGCCCAGCACUCGCUCUGCCAGACUCCACAGCUCCUGUGCUCCAGCUGAAUUCCUUGUUAAACCAAGUGUCCCAAGUGUCAGAAGGAUCACAUCAGGAGAGUCAUGAACAAGCAGCUGAACUCUGUGGUCUGCAUGCAGCAGAUGAUGAACUCUGUGGGAAGAGAGGUCCUGCCCUUGCAUGGCACUCAGCAGCAGCAGAUUGGGAGUUAUGCACUAGGAAAGGCUGUCAAAGUCAUCUGGGACAGGCUGGAUGUGACUCUUUCAUAGCAUCACUCUAGAACAUGCAGAUCCCUCACCCCAUAAUUGCUCAGAGGCUUGGGAACAGUGAAGGACAUUUGGAACCAGCUCCACAGUUACCUCUUGCUCCCUUUGCAGGAGCAGUUUGGGAUGGCCUUCCAUUUGAUGUCCCAUUGACAACAAAUGUUUGAGAAAUGGUGAAUUUCUCCCUGGCUGACAUCUCGUGUAUUCUGGGAAGGUU